GGGUGCGAUCAUACCAGCACUAAUGCAUCGGA
rnacentral:rRNA from 1 species